GAAAAAGGGCGUUCCUGAUAUCAUCGUGAACUGUGCGGGAACUAUUAAUAGGAACAACAAACUUUGGGAAGUGCCAGCUGAAGAGUUUGAUUCUGUCAUUGAUACUAAUCUGAAAGGAACUGCAAAUGUUCUGCGUUACUUUAUUCCCCUAAUGCUUGAGAAGAAGCAAGGAGUGAUCGUGAAUAUGUCUUCUGGAUGGGGAAGAUCUGGUGCGGCACAGGUGGCACCUUAUUGUGCUUCAAAAUGGGCAAUUGAAGGUUUGACAGCAUCAGUUGCGAAGGAGUUGCCCCCUGGAAUGGCAGCUGUUGCACUUAAUCCUGGUGUCAUUUACACGGACAUGCUUCAGUCAUGCUUUGGCAAUUCAGCAUCCCUAUAUCAGACACCUGAGUCAUGGGCUCCAAAGGCGGCUAAUAUGAUACUAAAUCUAACCAUGGCUGAUAAUGGGGCAUCUCUCUCGGUGUAAGUUUACACAAUUAAGCGACAUACUCGCGUUAGCAGGCAGCAGAAUGAUGGAAAUCACCAGUUUUUACCUUCGUUGAGUGUGAUGCCAUUUUUCUCCCCUAGUUUAGGAAAUUUGAAACAUUUGUAAUGUUUUGAGAAACUUUAAGAGGGAAUUUAGGCUUUAUGUAAAUUCUUUUUUGUCUAUUUGUUUGAAAA
rnacentral:misc_RNA from 1 species